rnacentral:sRNA from 3 species
ACGGCAACGGCCCGAAGGGCGAAGCGCGCAGCGCUGAGUCAUCCUUCCCCCACCACCA